rnacentral:rRNA from 1 species
GACGAACGCUGGCGGCGUGCCUAAUACAUGCAAGUCGAGCGGAGUUAUGAAGGAGCUUGCUCCCGAUUAACUUAGCGGCGGACGGGUGAGUAACACGUAGGCAACCUGCCCCUAAGACUGGGAUAACUACCGGAAACGGUAGCUAAUACCGGAUAAUCUCUUCCUUCUCCUGAGGGAAGAAUGAAAGGCGGAGCAAUCUGCUACUUGGGGAUGGGCCUGCGGCGCAUUAGCUAGUUGGCGGGGUAACGGCCCACCAAGGCGACGAUGCGUAGCCGACCUGAGAGGGUGAACGGCCACACUGGGACUGAGACACGGCCCAGACUCCUACGGGAGGCAGCAGUAGGGAAUCUUCCGCAAUGGGCGCAAGCCUGACGGAGCAACGCCGUGUGAGUGAUGAAGGUUUUCGGAUCGUAAAGCUCUGUUGCCAGGGAAGAACGUCCGGUAGAGUAACUGCUGCCCGGAAGUGACGGUACCUGAGA